rnacentral:rRNA from 1 species
GAUUCCCCCAGUAGCGGCGAGCGGACGGGGAGCAGCCCAGAGCCUGAAUCAGUGUGUGUGUUAGUGGAAGCGUCUGGAAAGGCGUGCGAUACAGGGUGACAGCCCCGUACACAAAAAUGCACAUAUUGUGAGCUUGAUGAGUAGGGCGGGACACGUGGUAUCCUGUCUGAAUAUGGGGGGACCAUCCUCCAAGGCUAAAUACUCCUGACUGACCGAUAGUGAACCAGUACCGUGAGGGAAAGGCGAAAAGAACCCCGGCGAGGGGAGUGAAAAAGAACCUGAAACCGUGUACGUACAAGCAGUGGGAGCACGCUUAGGCGUGUGACUGCGUACCUUUUGUAUAAUGGGUCAGCGACUUAUAUUCUGUAGCAAGGUUAACCGAAUAGGGGAGCCGAAGGGAAACCGAGUCUUAACUGGGCGUUAAGUUGCAGGGUAUAGACCCGAAACCCGGUGAUCUAGCCAUGGGCAGGUUGAAGGUUGGGUAACACUAACUGGAGGACCGAACCGACUAAUGUUGAAAAAUUAGCGGAUGACUUGUGGCUGGGGGUGAAAGGCCAAUCAAACCGGGAGAUAGCUGGUUCUCCCCGAAAGCUAUUUAGGUAGCGCCUCGUGAAUUCAUCUCCGGGGGUAGAGCACUGUUUCGGCA